GCCUUCUCCUGUCUGCCACCACGUGAGAUGUGCCUUUCACCUUCCACUAUGAUUGUGAGGCCUCACCAGCCAUGUGGAACUAGUUCAAGAUUUCAACAUUUUAAGAUAAUCUGAAAAAAAUUGGAAUGUGCCCCCAGCUGCCAAUACUCUCUCAACACUGUUUAUCAAAGGAACCAAUAUGGAAGGAAAAACAUUGCUUUGAAGGGAAGAUGGAUGGAUCCCCUAGUAAACUACAGCUUGAGGUGCAAUUUCCUAAAGUUCAAAUGCCUGAAAAAGGAAACGAAAGAAAGAAACUCAACUCUUGAGACAGCUUCAAUGCUAGCUUUGAUCUCAAUUAUAGAGUUAUUUAUGAAAAGUGCAUUUUUACAACUAAAAAUAAAUUAGGAUCAAAAGCUUCUAGAGGCUAUACUAUGGAGUGCUUAAUAAAAAGUUGAGUAAAGAGUAAUGAAUGGCUUUGUACUAUUAAUUUGAAAGAAUUACCUUCUCUUUUAAACAGCUGCCAAGAUAGUGAAGAUUGACAUGUCACAGGAAAUUAAAACAAAUGGUUUCUAGUCCUGUAUGCCUUGGUGGGUAAACAGUAGGAUAGAGCCCUUACCUGGGAAGCUGUGGGCUGGACUCUACCUCUAACUGUGUGCAACCAUUAAAGGAGCAACCUUCAGCAAGUUUAUUUAACUCUCUGGGCCUCAAAUUACCUACUCCUAAAGUGCACGAGAAGAACUAGUUCUUCUCUGAAAUUCUUCCUGUCUCCAAUGGCCUGUUCCUUAGUUCCUGUUAACUAAGCAUACUCACACUCUAAUAAAUACAUGUAAAAUCUUACCCCUUAUAG
rnacentral:lncRNA from 1 species